AUUGAACGCUGGCAGCGGGCCUAACACAUGCAAGUCGGACGGUAGCACAGAGGAGCUUGCUCCUCGGGUGACGAGUGGCGGACGGGUGAGUAAUGUCUGGGAAACUGCCUGAUGGAGGGGGAUAACUACUGGAAACGGUAGCUAAUACCGCAUAACGUCGCAAGACCAAAGAGGGGGACCUUCGGGCCUCUUGCCAUCAGAUGUGCCCAGAUGGGAUUAGCUAGUAGGUGGGGUAACGGCUCACCUAGGCGACGAUCCCUAGCUGGUCUGAGAGGAUGACCAGCAACACUGGAACUGAGACACGGUCCAGACUCCUACGGGAGGCAGCAGUGGGGAAUAUUGCACAAUGGGCGCAAGCCUGAUGCAGCCAUGCCGCGUGUAUGAAGAAGGCCUUCGGGUUGUAAAGUACUUUCAGCGGGGAGGAAGGUGUUGUGGUUAAUAACCACAGCAAUUGACGUUACCCGCAGAAGAAGCACCGGCUAACUCCGUGCCAGCAGCCGCGGUAACAC
rnacentral:rRNA from 1 species